rnacentral:rRNA from 1 species
UGGGGAAUCUUGGACAAUGGGGGCAACCCUGAUCCAGCCAUGCCGCGUGAGUGAUGAAGGCCUUAGGGUCGUAAAGCUCUUUCGCCUGUGAAGAUAAUGACGGUAGCAGGUAAAGAAACCCCGGCUAACUCCGUGCCAGCAGCCGCGGUAAUACGGAGGGGGUUAGCGUUGUUCGGAAUUACUGGGCGUAAAGCGCACGUAGGCGGACCAGAAAGUUGGGGGUGAAAUCCCGGGGCUCAACCCCGGAACUGCCUCCAAAACUAUUGGUCUAGAGUUCGAGAGAGGUGAGUGGAAUUCCAAGUGUAGAGGUGAAAUUCGUAGAUAUUUGGAGGAACACCAGUGGCGAAGGCGGCUCACUGGCUCGAUACUGACGCUGAGGUGCGAAAGUGUGGGGAGCAAACAGGAUUAGAUACCCUGGUAGUCCACACCGUAAACGAUGAAUGCCAGUCGUCGGGUAGCAUGCUAUUCGGUGACACACCUAACGGAUUAAGCAUUCCGCCUGGGGAGUACGGUCGCAAG